UCAUUAUUUGCUUUCUGAAUCGGCUCGAGGCCAAAUGUCACGACUUCGAAGUAUCUCGAUCGCGUUUUAUUAAUGCAAAGUAGCUGGACUCCGUGGCAGUUAACUUUGGAACACCGAUUUUCGCAGAUAGCCAAAGCUCGAUUUCUCAUCGAACGCGACUUUUUCCUUUUUUUCUCAUUUAUCUUUCAUUUGUCGAAGAAAAUUUUAACCACGAAAAAAAAAAAAAAGAAAAAAGAUUUAUAAACCCUUUUCGAAUCGAAUAAUAUUUAUUCUUAUUCUUGAUCGAUGACACAUUUUAUCCCUGAUGUUCUUUUUACAGAUGUAAAAUGUAUCGAUACUAAAACUAGCAGUAUCUAAUAUGUACUUUAAAUACAUUACGUGUGAAUGAUAUAUAGCGGUAUGAUGAAAAUAUAUAUGUAUACAGUCAAUUACAAAAAUUUUUGUACACAGUUUAAGUGAGUUUAAAACGAUUAAAUCAAGUCGCAAAAUUUUGUUUUAAACGAAAUUUUCCGAGUUUGUACAUGUUUGAAAAUAUACAAACACGGUUUCAUUAAAAAAUCCGUAAGAUUUAUUGCAUAUUUCUUUGCGACUGGCUGUAUCCAAUUUUAUCGAUUCGUUCAACUACCAAUUAUAAUGUCGAGCGUGAAAGGGUCACUACGCAAUAUACUCUAAGAAUUAAAUUUUCGAAUAAUUAUCGCGUUCGAUGCAGUUGUAGUCGAUAAAUCAAUCAAGCCGACAUUCAAAGCGAUAAACAUUCAACGUAAGCGUAUUCAAAUUUAAGAAAGGAAGCGUACAUUUUUUUUUUUUCUUUUAAGCAUUAUUUCGUUUUCUUUUUUGUUUCCCCCCCUUCAUUACAAAUGCCUCAGAGUUCCAGCUAGUCCACAAAAAUUGAUAUUAUUCUACAUAAAAAAGAAAAAAAAAAAAAAAUGGUAAAUAUACUUUCUAGCUUAUACAAUUCUAAAAUGUCGGACUAACGGAAGAUGAGAGUAGAUAGAGAUAGAUAGACAGACGGAUAGAUAAAGUAAGAAAUAGAAGUAGAGAGUUGUAACAGCACCAGAAUAUUUUAUCUUUCUUCCCCGUAUUUGGUCUCUCGAUCGAGUAUCAUACAUAUAUAGACUCGGGUUCUCUUCGAAUUAGGGGGUGUGAAGGGGAGAAAGGGGAUUUUCAUAGAGAGAGAGA